UCUUCAACCGCCAUAUGUACACACACAGUACACACACACACCACACCGCGAUGUACAUAUUAUCGAUAACAAAUCGCUAUUUGAGACAAGUUCUCUCAAUAAAGUGAAAAAAUUGUAAUUCGUGAUAUCACGAAUACAGUAUAUACCGCGUCGAAACUACGAUGGUUACGUUUCACUAUCCUGACUUUUCUACUUUGUUGGAACAAACGUAUCGACCCGCGUUGCGGUGCCAAUAUUUUGCAUAGCUUGUCUUAAUUAUCCGAGCAGGAUGGACGGUCCGUGCUAUGGAAAUACAAUUAUUGCUUUGUCGCGCAUUGAGAGUAUCCUGCCUGGCUUCGUACUCGGGUCAUCCACCGGGGACACUCUGCUGAAUUGUACGCCUUACUUAUCCGACAAAGGAUAAUGGUAGCGCAGACAUACCACAAGAGGAAAAGAAACAACAACUACGCACCCGUCCAUGUUUUUAAUGACGAUUGGCCUCGCACAAACAAUUUUAUGUUUCCCAGUCG